GCGGAGCUUCCGGAGGCCCCGCUCUGCUGCCGACCCUGUGGAGCGGAGGGUGAAGCCUCCGGAUGCCAGUCCCUCAUCGCUGGCCUGGUCGCGCUGUGGCGAAGGGGGCGGAGCCUGCACCCGCCCCGCCCCCACCGCGCCCCGUCCGCCCCGCGCGGCGCGGGGAGGAGGAGGAGCCGCGGCGGGGCUCGCACUGCAGCGCCAGCGUCCGAGCGGGCGGCCAAGCUCCCGGAGCGGCCUGGCCCCGAGCCUCGAGCGGGCGUCGCUCAGCAGCAGGUCGCGGCCGCAGCCCCAUCCAGCCCCGCGCCCGCCAUGCCGUCUGCCGGCCCCGCCUGAG
rnacentral:lncRNA from 1 species